rnacentral:tRNA from 1 species
GGAAGUAUAGCAUAAUGGUAAUGCAGCACUUUGCUAAAGUGCCGAGUUAAAACUCUUACAGGUUCAAAUCCUGUUACUUCCGCCA